ACAUCUGGGGCUGCACGGUGGCUCAUGCCUGUAAUCCCAGCAGUUUGGGAGGUCAACAUGGGUGAAUCACUUGAGGUCAGAAGUUUGGGACCAGCCCAGCCAAUGUGGCCCUGAUCAGGAAGUGAAGACAACAUGACUGUGGAGAAGAGAGCCGGGAAGGGAAGAAGCUCAAUAAUGAGUGCAUUCUAGGCCAGCUUCCCCAGAGCAUCAAGGUUGAUGGAAGAACAUGAGGGGAAGUGGCAUGAGAGCAAGCCCGUGCUCUCCUCUACAGAGACAGAAGCCAGACAUGCCUUUUCCAUGUGCUGAUCUCCAAGUCCCAGCUAGUAGGUCACAUGACAUCACAGUCCUGCUCUUCCUCAAUGAUGCAAAGGAUCCAGUGGAGGUCUCUGAGGCCCUGGGAGAUGGUAGAGCCACACCAUGAAGGUGCCUGGGUCCCUGAAUGACUGCAUGGAGCUCACUCUACAUUGGACUGUGACACAAGCAAGAAAGGUAGACACUUAGGAGUGGAAUUGCUGAGUCAUACAGUAAUUCUAUGUUUAACAUUUUGAGGAGCUGCCAAACUGUUUCCAAAAUGGCUGCAACAUUCUAUAUUUCCAUCAGCAAGAAGGGCCCAUGUGGCAAGGAACUAAGGGCAGUCUCUGGCCAAAAGCCCACAAGUAACUGAAUUCUGCCAAUAACCAUGAGUUUGGAAGUGGAUCCUUCCCCAUUCGAGUCUCAGAUGAGUCCCCAGCCCUGGCCAACAUCUUCAUGUGCUGUGAGAGACCAUUAAGCAGAGGACCCAGCUAAGCUCUGCCCAGAUGCUCAAUCCACAGAAAAAGAUACUAAGUGUGUGUUGUUUUAAGCUGCUACAUUUGCAGUGGUUUGAUAUGCAGCAAUAGAUAACUGAUACUGCUGUUAAUUGCUUUCUAUUACAAUCAGCUGGAAUAACUGCCCUUGUGCCUACAAUCAGAGAUGUAUUUUGGGAUCAAUUCCCAGACCUGAGAUUGUUCAGUCUAAGGGUAAGGAUAUUUAAUGUGGAAAAAUAACACUAAAUUGUCCUCCAAAAAUAUUAUCAAGUGACAAUCAUGCAAACAGUAUGAAAGUUCCUACUUCUCUCCAUGUUCUUGCCAAAUGAAGUGUCAUUGAUCAUUGAAAAAAUAUCAGUUUGAGAAAAA
ensembl:lncRNA LINC02030 long intergenic non-protein coding RNA 2030